GUGCUCUCUUCGGUAGCACAGAUACUAAAAUUGGAACAAUACAGAGAUUAGCAUGGCCCCUGCACAAGGAUGACAUGCAAAUUCGUAAAGCGUUCCGUAUUUUU
ensembl:snRNA U6 U6 spliceosomal RNA